GUGACUCGGUAACCUGUCGCUCAGGUUCCUCCUCUCACAGCCCCGCCCCGGCCUAUCCGGCCCAGCAGAGGUCCCGCCUGUCCGGGGAGAGGGAGCUCCACUGCCGCUGAGGCUCUGACAGACGGCCGGGCGGACAAACUGACCUAGGAGACUAGCCAAGCGCCGGCGCUGGCUGCCGGAGCAUACAGGUGGAAGCCAGGAACUGGGCUCUAGACUCCAGCCAGACUGAGGUCUGUCGACCUUGACACUGGCCACCACUGGGGACACCAUGAGCCAGUCAGGGUCCAUGAGCUGCUGCCCAGGAGCUGCCAACGGCAGCCUGGGCCGGUCUGAUGGUAUACCCAAGAUGAGCGCGAAGGACUUGUUUGAGCAGAGGAAGAAGUACUCCAACUCCAACGUCAUCAUGCAUGAGACGUCGCAGUACCAUGUCCAGCACCUGGCCACAUUCAUCAUGGACAAGAGCGAGGCUAUUGCCUCAGUGGAUGAUGCCAUCCGGAAGCUGGUGCAGCUGAGCUCCAAGGAAAAGGUCUGGGCCCAGGAAGUGCUGCUGCAGGUGAACGACAAGUCACUGCGACUGCUGGACGUGGAGUCUCAGGAGGAGCUGGAGAACUUCCCGCUACCCACUGUGCAGCACAGCCAGACAGUGCUAAACCAGCUUCGCUACCCCUCCGUGCUGCUGCUGGUGUGCCAGGACUCGGACCAGAGCAAGCCGGACAUCCACUUCUUCCACUGUGAUGAGGUGGAGGCGGAGCUGGUUCAGGAGGACAUCGAGAGUGCCCUGGCUGACCACCGACUGGGGAAGAAGAUGCGGCCACAGACCCUAAAGGGACACCAGGAGAAGAUCCGUCAGCGGCAGUCUAUCCUGCCUCCUCCUCAGAGCCCGGCCCCCAUUCCCUUCCAGAGACAGGCUGGAGAUUCCCCUCAGGCCAAGAACCGUGUGGGCCUGCCCUUGCCAGUGCCAUUCAGUGAGCCAGGUUAUCGCCGCAGGGAAUCCCAGGAUGAGGAGCCACGGGCUGUGCUGGCUCAGAGAAUAGAAAAGGAAACGCAAAUCCUCAACUGUGCCCUGGACGACAUUGAAUGGUUUGUGGCCCGGCUGCAGAAGGCAGCUGAGGCUUUCAAGCAAUUGAACCAGCGGAAGAAGGGGAAGAAGAAGAACAAGAAGGGGCCGGCAGAGGGUGUCCUCACGCUUCGAGCCCGGCCCCCGUCAGAAGGAGAGUUUGUGGACUGUUUCCAGAAAACCAAGCUAGCCAUCAACUUGCUGGCAAAGCUGCAAAAGCAUAUCCAAAACCCCAGUGCGGCUGAACUGGUGCACUUCCUCUUUGGGCCUCUGGAUCUGAUUGUAAACACCUGUGGCGGCCCAGACAUUGCACGCUCUGUCUCCAGCCCUCUGCUGUCCACUGAAGCUGUGAACUUCCUGCGUGGCCACCUGGUCCCCAAAGAGAUGACACUGUGGGAAUCAUUGGGGGAGACCUGGAUGAGGCCUCGCUCUGAGUGGCCCCGGGAGCCACAGGUGCCACUUUAUGUACCCAAGUUCCACAGCGGCUGGGAACCACCCCUGGACGUCCUACAGGAGGCUCCCUGGGAAGUGGAAGGACUAGCAUCUGUGCCCAGUGACCAGCUGACCCCUGCGAGGCAGCUCUCUGUACGGCACUCCCCGAAGCACAGCCUCUCCUCUGAGACCCCGGUCCCAGAAGACAUUGUACCACCAGGCAGCUCCCCACAUACUAACAGGGGCUACCAGCCGACACCAGCCAUGGCCAAGUAUGUGAAGAUCCUCUAUGACUUCACAGCCCGCAACGCCAAUGAGCUGUCCGUGCUCAAGGAUGAGGUCCUAGAGGUGCUGGAGGAUGGUCGGCAGUGGUGGAAGCUGCGAAAUCGCAGUGGCCAGGCUGGCUACGUGCCCUGCAACAUCCUGGCUGAGGCUCGGCAGGAAGACGUGGGUGCCCCCUUGGAACAGGUGAUCGCCUGCCACGGCUCCAUUCUGUCUCCAACACAGUCAGAGCCCCUAAGUCUGGCCAGAAAUACUGGGGUCCUGCCAGCCCCACCCACAAAGUGCCCCCAAUUUUCGCAGGGAACAAAGAAGAGCUAAUCCACCAUAUGGACGAGGUCAAUGAGGAGCUCAUGAAAAAGAUCAGCCACAUCAAGGCACAGCCGCAGCGCCACUUCCGCGUGGAGCGCAGCCAGCCCGUGCACCUGCCGCUUACCUUCCAGUCAGGUCCCGACGAGGUCCGAGCCUGGCUGGAAGCCAAGGCCUUCAGUGGCAGGAUCGUGGAGAACCUGGGAAUCUUGACCGGGCCCCAGCUCUUCUCCCUCAACAAGGAGGAGCUGAAAAAGGUGUGCGGGGAAGAGGGCAGUCGCGUGUACAGCCAGCUCAUGGUUCAGAAGGCCUUCCUAGAGCAAAGUGGGUCGGAGCUGGAGGUGCUUAUGAACAAGAUUCAUACCAAGAACCAGAGGAGGGCGGAGGACAGCUAGACCAACCAGACAACUUCGCCAGAGGCAGAGGGGAGGCUGCAUCUGUCGCAGGCCCAACCCUAAUGUAUGAUGGAGUAUUAUUUUUAUAUGUGUAUUAUUUUAUACCGAGGACACAGAUGGGCUGGGUGUAGCUGGGUCACCUGUCUCCGGGCAGGGUACUGUGCACAGGCCGAGCUACACCUGCGGGCGGCUCCUUUGCCACCCCAGCCCCAGCCCCAACCCAUACUCUCCUCUCCAAACCAGCCUCAGCCAAACCUGUAUCUGGCAGUGCCAGUCCCCGCCCCCCAACCUGCUGCCAAGGCCCCAGCACUCAGCAGAUGGACAAGGCCUCUUUCCCUGGCCUUCCCCGUGCACAUGGAGGCUCCUGUCCCUUAUGAUGCUGGGCCCCAACUCCACACAACCCCCUUGUGUUGCUUGCUUCUACAUCCUCCCGCGCCUGCAUCCACCAUGCACGAACUGCAGGAUGGGCCUGAGCUCCCAGCUGGCCAGCUUGAUGACCUUGCCCACGCUGCUAGUACCCCAAGAACAACCUGGUCAGGGGCUCCGGGACAGGAGGCCUUGGGUGCCCUGCUGGUAUAGAGUAUGUUGUAUUCUUUAUUCUUUCGUGAUCUAAGCAUGGACUAGACAUAGGUACUGAUUUCAGAUGUCCUAUCCCACCUAAACAGCCCGGGACAACAGCUGUCUCUGCUGGCUAUUUCCGCCAGCCUUCGUGCUGGUGGCUGGUGAGUUUCCCAGCCACUGGCUGGAGACUCAGAACCACAGAUGUGAGUGGGGACUCCACGGCUACGUCAAUAAACCAGUUGUCUCCUAGCAA